rnacentral:lncRNA from 1 species
GAUACCGAUCUAUCGGAAUUCUAAUUUGAGGGAACGAGUUCACCUGAAAAGAUUGGGGCUUCAGAUUCGUAAUAGAGAUUACGAGUGUCCGAAGCUGAAAGCAGCGGGGUUAUACCCCUGAAAUUGAGGCUUAGCCUCCCUAGAGAUCGCUGUUAAGCUCUGUAGGGAAGGGCUCAACUCGGCGGGAGAUCCGGAGUUGUGGCGAAAGGAAGCAGCGUAUAGCAGACCACGGAGACGGUGAGGUGAUGGAUGAUAAUUGUACUCGACAGGAUCGUCGGAGGUGGUCUGAAAAUUGGAAGGGAGUGGAAUGGUUGUGAUCCAAUUUAUUUUUAUCAAAAAUGCCUGUUUAGAUUCCUUUUACAAGUUUACUUAAAUAGAAAAAUUUAAAAGGUGCAACUCUGACAUAUUAUUAUAACUUAAGGUCUUCUUCAUAAAAUUCCCAAUAAAUUGGGGUUCCGUUGAAUCAUCCCAUGAGAUAAUCCCUCAUCCAGCCAGGAGUGCUGCUCUUGCGGGUAGACAUCCGGCUUGGGCCGGGUUCAUGUUCGCUCAACUGUCUCCGCUCACAAUCUUCCCCAAGUCCGGCGAUUAGGUCAUCAUUCUCGUCCUCCGGCGAUGCUUCCCUUCUAAUGUUCUCGACGUCGGCGCAUACUUCUUGGAAAUCAAUUGGCCUCGCAUCAUCUCUCCGCCCUUGAAAACUAACAUUGUCCUCAAUGUUCACAGAAGGGAACGAUUUCCUCAAAUCAGUUUCUGAUUCCCACGAUGCAUCCUCUGGGAUUGUGCCGUGCCAUUUUACAAGUACCUGCUCUUUCUUUCUUCCUCCUUGAAAAAUAGUUCUUCUGUUUAGAAUUGAUAUUGGGUAUAUUAUUGGUUUGUUGUUGACAGAAAUGAUUGGUUGAUUUUGUGUAUUCUCCUCAGGUGGGUUUCCUUCGAAUUUUCUGAGCUUUGAUAUAUGGAAUGAAGGGUGUAUUUUGCUGCCUUCUGGCAGUUCUAAUCUGUAAGCAACUUCAUUGAUCUUCUUGCUGAUUUUAUAUGGCCCAAAGUAUUUUUUACAGAAUUUAUUGUGUAACCUGUGGGCAAUGGAUUCUUGCCUGUAUGGUUUGAGAUGAACUAAUACCCAUUCCCCUUCUUCAAAUUUCAGAUCUAUUCUGUUUUUAUCUGCUUGGUUUUUCAUUCUUGAUUGAGCUAGCAUUAGAUUCUUUUUAAUCGAGUCUAGUGUAGCUUCCCUGAUUUGUAAUUCCACCUCUACUGCUUGGAUAGUUGAUUCACCCUCUUUAUAAUGAGGAAUUUCAGUUGCUUCUUUACCAUAUAAUACUUUGAAAGGUGUCAUCCCUAAAGAAGAGUGAUAGCUAGAGUUGUACCAUAAUUCGGCCCAAGGUAGUAACUUCAACCACUUGUUAGGGUGCUCAUGGCAGUAGGACCUUAGAUACAUCUCUAAUGUUCUGUUCACAACCUCAGUUUGCCCAUCUGAUUGAGGGUGGUAAGCAGAAGAAAAAUUCAGUUUAGUGCCACUGAGAGUGUUUAGUUCCUUCCAGAAUUUAGAAGUGAAUACCCUAUCUCUGUCCGAUACUAUUGAGCUAGGGAUGCCAUGUAGUUUAACCACAUCUCUAGUAAAAAUUUCAGCUACUUUAGAAGCAUUAAAAUUGGAUGGCAAAGGGCUAAAAUGGGCAUAUUUUGAUAACCUAUCAACCACAACCAUUAUUACUGAUUUAUCUUUAGCUUUUGGGAGGUCGGUGAUGAAAUCCAUGCUGAUAUCUUGCCAAACAGUAGAUGGAAUAGGUAGUGGCAUAAGCAAUCCAGCAAUUUUUGUGUUGUUUGGUUUGAUUUGUUGGCAAGUGACACAUUCCUUCACAUAUUUUUUUAUACUCUCUCCCAUUUUUGGCCAAAAGAAGUGUUUAGCUAUUCUUUUCCACGUCCUAUGAAUUCCUGAGUGUCCACCCAUUUGAGAAUCAUGGAACUCGUAUAAUAUCUUCUUUAUGAAUUCAGAAUUUUCAUGCAAAUAAUAUUUGUUUUUGUAGAAUAAUAUUCCAUUUCUGACCAUAAAUCCAUUAGUCUCAUCUCCUUCUUCAAUAUGAUUGUUGAUGAGUAGUUGGAUGGCUGGAUUAUCUUUAUUUUCUUUCUUUAUAUCUUCUAGUAUGGAGUAAAUAGGUUUUGAUAAAGCUAAUAAUGAACCAGGUAUUCCCACUGAUUUUGAUGUGAAAAUAAUCUCCUCUUUAUCCUCUUCAAACCUUCUUGAUAGUGCAUCAGCUACAAUAUUUUCUUUCCCAGGUUUAUAAAUAAUGGAGAAAUUAAAUCCCAAUAACUUACAUAGAAAAACUUGUUGUUCUGGGGUCUGUAUGACUUGGGUGAGCAAGUUUUUUAAACUUUUAUGAUCGGUUUUGAUCACAAAAUGAGAGCCCAGCAAGUAAUGUCUCCAUUUACUCACAGCUUGAGUAAUGGCAUACAUUUCCUUCACGUAGAUGGAUGCUGCCAUAAUCCUUCCAGAUAGCUUGCGACUGAAGAAGCUGAUAGGAUGUGAUUUUUGGCUAAGAACAGCUCCUACUCCGUUCUUGCAUGCAUCUGUCUCGACUGUAAAUUCCAACUUGAAAUCUGGAAAUUGUAAAACAGGUGCUGUUGUCAUGACAGAUUUUAGUUUCUCAAAACUAAUAGAUGCUUCUUCUCCCCAAUUGAAGUUAUCUUUUUUCAGAAGGUCUGUCAUGGGUGCUGCAAUGGAAGCAUAGCCUUUGAUGAAUCUCCUAUAAUAUCCCGUAAGCCCUAAAAAUCCUCUUAGCAUUUUUAGAUUUUUAGGUCUUGGCCAAUCUAGCAUGGCUUUGAUCUUGUCUUGGUCAGGAUGGACUCCAUCUCCUGCAAUCACAUGACCUAAAAAUGUCAUAGAAUCUUUCCCAAAUGAGCAUUUGGAGAGUUUUACAAUAAGUUUGUUGGCCCUGAGUAGUUCAAAUACGCAUUUCAGAUGUUUGAUGUGGUCUAACAGUGAAGCACUAUACACUAAUAUAUCAUCAAAGAAGACUAUUACAAAUUUCCUCAAGUAUUGAGAGAAAACAGAGUUCAUGACUGAUUGAAAGGUAGCUGGGGCAUUAGUUAACCCGAAGGGCAUUACCAGAAACUCAAAGUGCCCUUGAUGUGUUCUGAAUGCAGUUCUUUCAGUGUGAUUCGGAUUUACUCUGAUCUGAUGAAAUCCUGAUCUCAAAUCCAGCUUUGAAUAAAUGUUAGACCCUUUCAAUUCUCCUAGCAGUUCAUCUACUGUAGGAAUUGGAUAUUUAUCCUUGAUAGUUAAGGCAUUUAAGGCCCUAUAAUCUACACAUAAUCGAUAACCACCAUCUUUUUUUUUUACCAAAAGAACCGGGGAUGAAUAAGGACUUGAACUUGGUUUUAUUAUUCCCUGUUUUAACAUUUCUGAAAUUAAUUUUUCCAUUUCAGAUUUUUGAAAUUGGGGGUAUCUAUAAGGCCUUACAUUGACAGGCUUAGAACCAGGUUCUAGAUGGAUAGAAUGGUUUCUUUCUCUUUGUGGUGGCAACCCACAAGGAUCUUCAAAUAAAUCACAGUUUUCUUGGAUGACAGAUGUGAUUUCUGGAAUUUUAUUUUCCAGAACUGUUCGUGUUUCACUGCCUUCAAUUCUGUCCAAAUAACAGAUAUAUGCUUCUUGAGUGGAUGCCCAUAAGCAUUUGAGCUGUCCCACUGACAAGGGAUCUUCAGAAACCCAAGGUAGACCUGUCCAAAUAACCUUCUUCUCUAGUAGUUUGAACUCCAUAAUGGAUUUGUCAAAAUCAAACGUGACUGGGCCAAAUGUUUUUAGAGCUUGCACCCCCACCACCAUAUUAGUGCCUGCCAUGUGAAUCAGAAAAAUGUCCAUAACUAUAGUGACAUCUUGUAUCUUGACUUCCACCUCUUUACACAUCUUAUUGCAAACUAACUUCUCUCCACUACCAGUUGAGACAUGGAAUGGAGUUAUCAUAUGAAUUGCUAGCUUUAGUGCCACUGCCACAUCUACCUGCAUGAAGUUAUGACUUGACCCUGAGUCAAUUAGAACACUCACUGACUGACAUUUAAUAUAGCCCAUAACUCUGAUAGUGCUGGAGCUAAUGUUUCCUUCAAAUGCGUGUAGGGAUAUUUCAGAUCUGCCCCUGUCCACAGUGUCCACUAUAAUAUCUUCAGUUUCCUCUUCGACUUCAUCUUGUUCAAUAAUUUCUACUAAUUCAACCUCAUCUGCUGAUAGUCUGAAGAGUUUUCCUUUUCUUCCAACACAUACACUGUUGUGAUUGGCACUGAAUUUUUCAUCACAGUUGAAGCAUAGCCCUUUGCUUCUUCUUUCAGCUCUCUCUACUGCAGAUAGCCUCUUGGUGGUUGGACCCACUUCAGUCACUACCGGGUUAGCUUGCUCUUGGGAGGGACCGAUUUUGUUUUGUCUAGGUUCUGAGUGAGAGACUAAUCUGGAUUGCUUUUGUAAAUAUGGUUUAUAUGUGGUUUUGCCUCCCUUUCUAGCUUCUAACAUCAGUGAAAUUUCAAAUGCCUCGUGUAUAUCUCCAGGUUUUGCUAGAAUAACAUCAGACUGUAUCUCUUCUUUUAAUCCUGAGAUGUACAUUUCUAGAAUAAAGUACUCCGGUAGUCCCAAUACUCUUGUGCAUAAUUCCUCAAAUUGGCCUUGGUAUUCUGCCACUGUGCCCUCCUGUAAUAACUUACUCAGCUUGCCACCAGGUAACUGAUAGUGUAGUGAAGUGAAUUUUCUUAUUACUGCAUUAACAAAAUUGGGCCAGUUAGAUAACAUAUGGCUUGCCUCUAGCCAAGCAAACCAUUUUCUUGCCAUUCCAUCGAGAUGAAAUGAUACUAUUAAUAAUUUCUGAUCUUCCGGAACUUUGUUGAAGAUGAAAUAUCUUCUCACAGCAUAUAACCAGUGUUCUGCAUCCUUCCCAUCAAACCUUGGCAUGUUUACCUUUAUAUGUUUUGCAGGAGUGUAGUUUGGGUCUUCAAGUACCCCAACUGCAUAACAAGGUUUAUCCAGGUUUACCACAGAUUGGUAGUAUGUUUGUGGUUGUUUGAUGAUAUUUGAUUGAUUAAAUUUCUCUAGAUCUGGUGGUUUUUCAGGAAUAUCCGGAACUAUAUCCGAAAUUUUAUUGCAUAAUUCAGAUACUUGCUUGCUUAUUUCCAUGAAAUUACUGUUUACUGUUGAUCUGAAUUCUCCCAUUUCUUUGAUCUGACUCAUUUGCAGUGUUUGCAAUCUGAUGAAAUCUGGAUGAGAUGCUAAAUCCAUUAUUUUCUGAAAUUAAGAGUCCACACUUAAGAAAGCACCAAAUGAUACCGAUCUAUCGGAAUUCUAAUUUGAGGGAACGAGUUCACCUGAAAAGAUUGGGGCUUCAGAUUCGUAAUAGAGAUUACGAGUGUCCGAAGCUGAAAGCAGCGGGGUUAUACCCCUGAAAUUGAGGCUUAGCCUCCCUAGAGAUCGCUGUUAAGCUCUGUAGGGAAGGGCUCAACUCGGCGGGAGAUCCGGAGUUGUGGCGAAAGGAAGCAGCGUAUAGCAGACCACGGAGACGGUGAGGUGAUGGAUGAUAAUUGUACUCGACAGGAUCGUCGGAGGUGGUCUGGAAAUUGGAAGGGAGUGGAAGAGUUGUGAUCUAAUUUAUUUUUAUCAAAAAUGCC